rnacentral:lncRNA from 1 species
CGAAUUUGUAUAUUUCUGGACAGGUUUAAUUGCAAGCGGCUACUCUAUCUUGUCAUGAUUCAGAUGAUACUUAGAAGUCCAAACUCAACAGUCAAGGUGCGCAUGGAAGAUUAUCUUAGUUUUCAUGGUUUUCUGGUUCUAUAUUAUACUACUUCCCUCGAUUUUCAUUGUCAAUAAUCUAGUAUGUGAAUAUUUCUUAAGAGUUCAUUGAUUUCACUUUUGCUCUGUGCACUAAACUCCCUCAAUCAGAGGUUGAUUUGCUCUUCUAAUUUUAUUGCUACUACGUACUAUUACUUUCUAUCGAAUACAAUUCUACAAUUUACAGCUGCUUGAAAACAUAACCGUUUAAACUUCUUUGCUUUAGCUUGGAUAUUUUUCCUACUAUAAUAUUUGUUAUCUCAUAGUUCUUUUAAGAUGGGAUAUUUUUUUUCUACUACAAUAUUUGUUAUCUCACAGCUCUUUUAAGAUGUUGACUUUCAUAUUUUUAUUUUCGAAGCGACAAAAUCUGUAAACCUGUUAAAGAGGAAUUAAUCAUAUGAAUUAGAUUAUUC